UACAGAGGCCCCAAGCAUUAUCCGGAAUCACUGGGCGUAAAGGGUGUGUAGGCGGCUAUGUUAGUCUCUUGUGAAAGAUCCCGGGCUUAACCCGGGAGACGCAAGGGAAACGGCAUAGCUUCGAGGAUAUGAGAGGUAAAGGGAACUCAUGGUGUAGGGGUGAAAUCCGUAGAUAUCAUGGGGAACACCAAAGGCGAAGGCACUUUACUGGCAUACUCCUGACGCUGAAGCACGAAAGCGUGGGCAUCGAAUGGG
rnacentral:rRNA from 1 species